rnacentral:lncRNA from 1 species
AUCUUACUAUUACUAAUUGGAGGCUCCUUUUGAAGCCUUUAGGUGAAGCCACCUAGGAUUCCUAGGUGGACACUCUAGAAAAAGAGAGAAAUCCUAUAAAUUCUCACAAAAAAGCAAAACAUCCGACCAUCGAUCUAUAGAUUUAAAUCAUCAUAGCCAUUGAAUCUAUUAUGUUUUCUAAAAAAUUACCCACCUAUGCCAUUAUGAAAAUAGCCUAAAUUAACCCCUAAUUCUAUAUAUAAAUUACCCACCUCUGCCAUUAUAUAAAAUAAACUAAAGUAACCCCCUAAUCUUCAUCAAAAUUACCCACUUAUGCCAUUAUAAACAAUAUUUAAAAUAACCCCCUAAUUUGCAACUGAAUUGCCUACCACAAUUACUUAAAAAUUAAAAAACUUAAAGUAACCCCUUAAAUUUGC